AAGCGUCACACCACCACCGUAACUUAGUUAAAGAUGAAUUCUAAUAAUAGAGGUCAUUUUCCUUUUGUAAACUCCUCCUCUUCUUCUGAGUCAUCUGAUGAAUUUGAUGAGUGGUUAGGAUAUGAGAAUGAAGCAAUGGAGAUUGAAGAACAAAUUGCAAUCAACAUGAUAGCAAGAAAUAACUAUGUAAUUCACCAGCUCCUCCUCAUCCAACAAAGCGAUCAGGAGGCAACAAUGGCGGAAUCUCCUGUGCAGAUGAACCUGGUCCCGACCGAAGCUACUUCUGAAAGCUUCGCAGAGUAUGGUCAAGUCAUCGAAGCUUCCUCAGAUGGUGAUCUCUUUGGUCCUAACGAUGCUCAGUUAGAUCUCUCCAGAGGAACCCCACGUUUUUAUAUCAUGCGGCUCGAAGGUCGAACCUUGGGCUUCUCAACGAUCACGCACCACGCGAACGUGACACAGUGUCUGGGAUCUAUAGGAGGUCACGUUUGGUAUCUCGGUGUAGCGAAGCCAUCUCUUAUUGAAGAUGUUGAUAGAGAAAGAGUUGGAGAUAAUGUAGAGUCAGGGUCCGAUGGUCACUUGUACGCGCCUCCUACGGUUGAAGAGGUGCGCGUCUUCAGGUUUUCAGGACCGAAGUUUGUUAAACUGAACCGUGGUACGUGGCAUGCUGGGCCGUUGUUCAGUGACAGCUCCAUGGACUUCUACAACCUUGAGCUCAGCAACACAAAUGAGGUGGAUCACACGACACAUAGUUUCAAGAAGAAGAAUGGGGUCAUCUUCCGGUUUGAGGAUAGCACAUCAUCAUCCUAAAGUCAAAAAUCCUAUAUGAUGAUCAGUGUGGUUCUGUUUUCAUGUCUUUAUAAGCAAAUAAAAUGAGAAACAUUUUUCUUGUAUUCAAUGUGCCAACACUGUCUUUGUACAAACUGUAACUCUCCUCUAUAAAUCUGUUCAUCUAUUGACUCA